GACGAACGCUGGCGGCGUGCUUAACACAUGCAAGUCGAACGGAAAGGCCUGCUUUCCCUUGUGGAUUGCGGGUACUCGCGUGGCGAACGGGUGAGUAACACGUGAGUGAUCAGCCCCCAACUUGGGUAUAAGCCUGGGAAACUGGGUCUAAUUCCCGAUAGGACUGCAGGGUGGUGCCUGUGGUGGAAAACGAUUUUCUAGUGGUUGGGGAUGAGCUCGCGGCCUAUCAGCUUGUUGGUGGGGUAAUGGCCUACCAAGGCGGCGACGGGUAGCCGGCCUGAGAGGGUGGACGGCCACAUUGGGACUGAGAUACGGCCCAGACUCCUACGGGAGGCAGCAGUGGGGAAUAUUGCACAAUGGGCGGAAGCCUGAUGCAGCGACGCCGCGUGGGGGAUGACGGCCUUCGGGUUGUAAACUCCUUUCGACCGCGAGGAAGCCACCUGGUUGGAAGGGUGGUGACGGUAGUGGUAGAAGAAGCACCGGCUAACUACGUG
rnacentral:rRNA from 1 species